CCUUACCUACGGGACGCAGCAGUGGGGGAUAUUGCACAAUGGGGGAAACCCUGAUGCAGCGACGCCGCGUGAGUGAAGAAGUAUUUCGGAUUGUAAAGCUCUGUUAGCAGGGAAGAGGAAGGACGGUACCUGCAGAGGAAGCCACGGCUAACUACGUGCCAGCAGCCGCGGUAAUACGUAGGUGGCAAGCGUUGUUCGGAAUAACUGGGCGUAAAGGAUGCGUAGGCGGGUAAACAAGUUAUAUGUUAAAUAUAUAGGCUUAACCUGUAGAAAGCAUAUAAAACUGUUUAACUAGAGUGC
rnacentral:rRNA from 1 species